UCAGACUGAAAGUGAUCGCAGAUAUGAUACAGUGAUCUGUGGUCAGAUAACUGAGCCCAAAGUGUUUUUUGGCAUGUUAAAGCUUAUUACGUGCUUGUUAGCAUAGUGAUAAAACCAACAUGCCUACACAC